UGGAUCCCUUGACUCCUGCGUGGCCCCCAUCUGCUCAGGGUGUUUUUGGGUUCAUGAGUCCUUGAGGCCGCAGCCUUGCUUACUUUGUGGUCUCAUAUUUCAUAUUCUCCCUCCCAGCACAGGAUCUUUCAGUUUGUUGUAUUUAACAAACAUACUGAGGUACUAAGGGCCUCACAGAUAUGAACUCACUUAAUUUACACCACAACCAUCUGAGAUAGGUAUUAUCAGCUCCACUGUAAAGGUGGGGUGGUCAAAGCCCAGAGGAAUUAAGGAUCAAGCCCAGAGGAGAGCUGAGAAUCAGUUCCUGUAUCCACCAGGGUCUGAGCAGGAAGUGGACAGCACGCUCAAAACAGGAGACUCUCAAGAGGAUUCAACAGAGGAACUAUUUCCAAAGGCAGAGGGAAAACAAAGGACCGAGAGGCUGUUCUCAGCCCUUGAGCUGAAGGGUCGGGACCUGGAAGGAGAGGAGGCUGCCCAUUCAGUCAGCUGUUGCCACAUAACAACGUAAUGACUUAAAACAGCACCAUUUAGGUAUUUCUCCCGUUGUGUGGGUAGAAAGGGCGAUUCAGGUCCCAAAUGGCCCCUCAGGGUGCUGGCUGCCAGCUGGGGGCUCGUUGGGCUGCUGCUGGGGCUGGGAUCUCCUCACAUGGCUUCUUCACCCAGAUGCUUGGGCUUCCUCCCAGUGUGGCCGCCGAGUUCAAGAGGGAGUGUUCCAGGAGAUCGCCUCCCUCCCACUGGCCAGAGGCAGCUGGACACCUGAGGACAAGGAAGCCUGCCGACCUGGCCUGUGACAGUCAUCUUCUCGGGUGGCACGGGGUGGAAGUGGAAGAUGGCUUUGAGGGGGAGGAGGACACCCUGACACAGCACCUGCUGCUGCUAAGCUCUUCUAGGACCUUCUAUUUUUCCUUUAUUAUGAUGCAAUUUGUGACAGAUCUGUGAUUUGGCUUUGUGUCAAAUUUGGCUUUGUAUCAAAUUCUUCAUUGUCAGUCUCUCUUUUAAGACCAUGAGCUCCCAGGAAGUGGGACCAGCUGCUAUGCCCACCACUGGAUCCCCAGGCCCAGCACUGGCAUAGGUUGGUGCUCAGUAGCUCCUCACUCCUGAUCCAUCUGCUAGAGCUGUGGGUUCUGUACCCCAAAUACACCUUGAAUCCAUCCAGCUGUCUCUGGUUUUCCCAACCCAGGUCCCUAUAACACAGGACAACUGCAUUUCUUUUUAUUGAGGUAUUGUUGAUAUGACAACUGUAUCUUAUCAUAUCUGAGGCACGUUUUUUACUCUUGACCUCCAAACAUUGGCCAGGGAGAUGCAUUUUUUUAUUCUUAAGAAAAGAAAAGAAAUUGUUUUGGUCAAUUGGGGCUGCUAUAGCAGAAAGCUACAGACUGAGUGGCUUAUAAGCAGCAGAAUUUAUUUCUCAUAGUUUUGGAGGCAGAAGUCAGAGGUGAAGGUGCUGGCAGAUUCUGGGUCUAGUGAGAACCCACUUCCUGGUUCAUAGGAGGUACCUGGGACCCUGUGUCCUCACCUGGCAGAAGGGGUGAGGGAGCUCUCUGGGGUCUCCUUUAUAAGGGCACUUAUUUCAUGUAUCAGGUUCCACCCUCAUGACCUAACUGCCUCCCAAAGGCCCCAUUUCUUAACACCAUCACACUGGGUGUUAGGAUUCAACAUAUAAAUUUUGGGGGACCACACGUUUAGUCUUAGUUGAAACACACACCAGAGCAAAGAUUGUACCAUGAAUCCCCCCACAUGCCCAUUUCUCAGAUUUAACAAUUAUCCAGGCUUUUUUGUCCCCGUUGCUUCAUCUGUCCUUGUUUCUUUCUCUUUGAGUGAGUUGUCUUGAAGCUUACCUCAGGUCCUCAUGGUGCCGUCUGUGCUUCUCUGGCCCUUGAACAAACUGGACAGCUCCUUGUUGCAGGGCCUUUGUGCUUACUGCUUAUUUUGCCAGAGAUGUCCUCCCCUGGCUCUGGUCCUUCAGGCUUCACCCUCCACCCCCUCAUCUCUCUGUGGUAUUACCCCAUUGUUUCUCUCAUUAGCACUUAACAUCAUCUAAGAUCCUUAUUUAUUUGCUUGUGGGGUUUUUGUUGUUGUUGUUUGUUUUGCUUUUAAAUUUCUCUUCCUAACUAAAAAAGAAGGCCAGGACAGAGGGACCCUGUCUGUCUCGUCCACUAGUCUAUCCCCAGCUCAUAACACAAAGUAGGCCUAGCACAGAGCAGGAGCUCGGCAGGUAUUUGCUACAUGAAGAAUGAAUGAAUGUGAACAUCUCUCUGGGCAGGUAGGGCAGGGCCAGGUGACCUUAGAGGAGCCUUCUGGGUCUCCUGGGAUAGGAACCAUCCUCAUGUGGCCAGCUGCUGUGGGCCAUGGCAUCCGACAGAAGCUUCUCUCCUCUUGUGACCUGGUGGAAAUGGAGCAGAGUUAUCAGUUCACAGCUGCCAGCUGAGUCCUCCCCACAUACUUCCACCUUUGUCUCCGUACAUAUUAUCCUGUAACAGCACUGUCCAACAGAGGUGCAAUGAGAGCCACAUAUGCAAUUUAAAUGUUUUUUAGUAGCUGCAUUUCAAAAAUAAAAAGAAACAGGUGAAAUUGAUUUUAAUAGUAUAUUUUAUCUAACCCAACAU